AGAGGGAGGGUGGAGUUAGUCAUGACAGCCACACAGAACAUGGUUGCAUAAGAGGGGGAAAGUGAAGGUGUUCGUACCAAGCACAGAACUAACUGUCAAGUUACCCACAGUCCACAGAUUACAGCCCGAUCCGGGGCGUGUCAUUUCCACAGGGGGCUUUAGGGGAAAAGAAAGAAAGAAAGACUAUUCCACGAGCAUCAAGCAAACCAGGUGAUUCCGCAGUUUUACUGAGAUAUAAUUGACAUACAGCACUGUAUAAGUUUAAGGUGUGCGGCAUGAUGAUCUGACUUACAUACAUCAUGAGAUGAUGACCACGCUCCCCUCGUGGCUCACUCCCACAGCCGACGUGAGGCCCCGGGAGCGCCGCGGACCGUCCUGGAGAGCGCGGGUCUGCGGGGCAGAGAGGACGCCCCACGCAGCGGUCACCGGGAGCCACAGCUACCGAACGCAG